GAUGAACGCUGGCGGCGUGCCUAAUACAUGCAAGUCGAGCGAACGGACGAGAAGCUUGCUUCUCUGAUGUUAGCGGCGGACGGGUGAGUAACACGUGGAUAACCUACCUAUAAGACUGGGAUAACUUCGGGAAACCGGAGCUAAUACCGGAUAAUAUUUUGAACCGCAUGGUUCAAAAGUGAAAGACGGUCUUGCUGUCACUUAUAGAUGGAUCCGCGCUGCAUUAGCUAGUUGGUAAGGUAACGGCUUACCAAGGCAACGAUGCAUAGCCGACCUGAGAGGGUGGUAGGCCACACUGGAGCGUGACCGGCGACCUUGCUCCUAAGGUAGGCACCAGUAGGGAAUCUUCCGCAAUGGGCGAAAGCCUGGCGGAACAACGGCGAGUGUGAGAUAAAAGUCUUCGGAUCGUAAAGCUCGGUUAUUAGGGAAAAACAGAUGUGUACGUAACUGUGCACAUCUUGACGGUACCUAAUCAGAAAGCAACGGCUAACUACGUG
rnacentral:rRNA from 1 species